ACUCCUACGGGAGGCAGCAGUGGGGAAUUUUGCGCAAUGGGGGAAACCCUGACGCAGCAACGCCGCGUGAGUGAUGAAGGCCUUCGGGUCGUAAAGCUCUGUCAGAGGGAAAGAAAUGUAGUAGUGCUAAUACCACGAUUACUUGACGGUACCCUCAAAGGAAGCACCGGCUAACUCCGUGCCAGCAGCCGCGGUAAUACGGAGGGUGCAAGCGUUGUUCGGAAUUAUUGGGCGUAAAGCGCGUGUAGGCGGUUUGUUAAGUCUGAUGUGAAAGCCCCGGGCUCAACCUGGGAAGUGCAUUGGAAACUGGCAGACUUGAAUACGGGAGAGGGUAGUGGAAUUCCUAGUGUAGGAGUGAAAUCCGUAGAUAUUAGGAGGAACACCGGUGGCGAAGGCGGCUACCUGGACCGAUAUUGACGCUGAGACGCGAAAGCGUGGGGAGCAAACAGGAUUAGAUACCCUGGUAGUCCACACCGUAAACGAUGAGAACUAGGUGUCGCGGGUA
rnacentral:rRNA from 1 species